CCCCCCUCAAGAUGAGAUAUCCCAAUACGUAAGACCCCUUGAAGACGACAAGGUAGAUAGGAAUAAGGUGUAAGCACAGUAAUGUGUUCAGCUGAUAUUUACUAAUCGGUCGAGGGCUUAUCCUG
rnacentral:rRNA from 1 species